UACGUUUCUUCAUCUUCUUCCCCAACAUGAUCUUUAUAUCUAAUAAAUAAUAGGUCACCAUUGUGAGAAAUGAAGAAAGUGGAAACUUUGUAUGCACUGUGGUCCUAUGAGGAAGUACCGAUAGUAUAUUAGAUGACCUUGAAAGAGCAGUUGAUGAUGGUGUGAAUACAUACAAGGCAAUGUGCAGGGACAGUUGUAUAGUACCUGGAGCUGCAGCUACUGAAAUUGAGUUGGCUAGAAAACUGAAGGAGUUUUCUUUUAAGGAAAUAGGAUGUUUACACCACAAAGAUGUUUCAGCUACUGCUAGCUGCUUAUUCAACAAUAAGCAUUCAAGAUGCUUCUCUUCUUGGGAAU